ACACUGACGGUGAAGCGGUUAUCAUGCUUGCCUUCCAAUCUCUGCAACAAGCAAGCGGCAGGGGUUCGCCUCCCCUUCGGUGUC